GUGGGGAGGCAUUUAUGUUUCGAAACUUCUCUGUUUAAUUCUCUGAUUUCACCUCUAUUUCGUGCAUAAAGACAACUUUUGGAUGAUUUCAGAUGUCCCUCCAUGACAGAUCAGUAUCACAACCACAAGUAGUGUUUGUUGAAGAAGGGAUCGAUAGGAAGAGACCAGCUAGAGAUGUUUCACAAAAGUAUAAUGACAAGUACUGAGCUAUGAAUUCAGUUCACCUCACCACCAUCCCCAUUUCCAAGCAAGAACCAGCAAGAUCUAGAGAAUAUCAGGAUCGCAUCAUCAGAGAUGUUUUUCCUUGUGUAGCGACAAAUGCUGAGCUAUGGAUUCACUUCACCUCAACGCCAUCCCCAAUUUCUAGGAAGGAUCAAUUCAUAUUGUGAACUUAUAGAGGAUCAACAUUGAAAACAAACCGGCAACAGAGCUAAAGACAGCGACUGGCCAGGAUGGUGCUGGCAAGCUGCGACAACGUGCACUACUGUUGGGGGAGGAACUGGAGCCAAGCAUAUCCAGCCGUGCUGAAGACCAUGAUUGGGUCCAUGUAUAGUUGACCAGAAGGACGCGUAAUGAAGUUACGGAGCAGGAGCCGCAUGAUUGGGGCAAGUGAUGGCGUGGUAACCAUGGACAGCGCCAAAGGGAGACGUAAGAAUGACAGAGUGAGGACAGGAGAUACAUCUACCACCAAUCUGACAGCAGACUUACGCAAGGGAACGACUGUCUUGGGAGCACCGUUUGCAGACUUGAUGCAAAUGACCUGAGCAAAAGAAUGAAGCUGGCAAUGCUGGCUUGAGACUGGUGUUCCACUUAAUAUCUGUAUACUCUUUCAUGUCAAUUGUAAAUUAGUGUUGCUUGAUUGAUAGAUAGACUUGGCUCUUUUUUUUGGAGCAGUACAGUUGCAAGAUAAAUCCUGUUUGUAAUUUUAUAAAUCAGUUGCUCAUUAAGGGCUUACGAAGGUUUUGAUGCCUUGCUGGCUUAUCUGCAUACCAGUAAAUAUGUGCAGAUUCAUUUCUUGCUUUGAAGCAAUAUCGUUGCUACACUCCUAAAGCAGUGGCAAUGUUCAGGUCUGUUCUGCCUUGCGGGCAAAUCU